ACAGCCCUACACUUGUCAAGUAAUACCAAAACUGCCCUUUUGUUAAUUAAGUGACAAAUAUAGUUUCGGUGGUUUGUGUUAAACUCAAAAAGUGUCAAGAGGCGGUUUCUCACGACAAACUUCACGAACCGAGACUAGAUCAAGAUCACGCAUCGAAUGUUAUUUAUAAGGUUAGAAGAGUUUGUACAGAAGAUUCUCCGAUAUUCUUAUCAUACAAAUGUGAACGCCGGAUUGUUAGGCGUGUGUAGCGUUUCAGCAAUAACUAUUGUCAAUGUAAUUUCCAUUUCGGUAGUAAUAAAAGAUUAUAUUUCUAUUGUUCAA